rnacentral:rRNA from 1 species
GGGUUGUGAGGUUAAGCGACUAAGCGUACACGGUGGAUGCCCUGGCAGUCAGAGGCGAUGAAGGACGUGCUAAUCUGCGAAAAGCGUCGGUAAGGUGAUAUGAACCGUUAUAGCCGGCGAUGUCCGAAUGGGGAAACCCAGUGCAAUUCGUUGCACUAUCGUUAACUGAAUACAUAGGUUAACGAGGCGAACCGGGGGAACUGAAACAUCUAAGUACCCCGAGGAAAAGAAAUCAACCGAGAUUCCCCCAGUAGCGGCGAGCGAACGGGGAGCAGCCCAGAGUCUGAAUCAGCUUGUGUGUUAGUGGAACGGUCUGGAAAGUCCGACGGUACAGGGUGAUAGUCCCGUACACCAAAAUGCACAGGCUGUGAACUCGAAGAGUAGGGCGGGACACGUGGUAUCCUGUCUGAAUAUGGGGGGACCAUCCUCCAAGGCUAAAUACUCCUGACUGACCGAUAGUGAACCAGUACCGUGAGGGAAAGGCGAAAAGAACCCCGGCGAGGGGAGUGAAAAAGAACCUGAAACCGUGUACGUACAAGCAGUGGGAGCACCUUCGGGUGUGACUGCGUACCUUUUGUAUAAUGGGUCAGCGACUUAUAUUCUGUAGCAAGGUUAACCGUAUAGGGGAGCCGCAGGGAAACCGAGUCUUAACUGGGCGUUAAGUUGCAGGGUAUAGACCCGAAACCCGGUGAUCUAGCCAUGGGCAGGUUGAAGGUUGGGUAACACUAACUGGAGGACCGAACCGACUAAUGUUGAAAAAUUAGCGGAUGACUUGUGGCUGGGGGUGAAAGGCCAAUCAAACCGGGAGAUAGCUGGUUCUCCCCGAAAGCUAUUUAGGUAGCGCCUCGUGAAUUCAUCUUCGGGGGUAGAGCACUGUUUCGGCUAGGGGGUCAUCCCGACUUACCAACCCGAUGCAAACUACGAAUACCGAAGAAUGUUAUCACGGGAGACACACGGCGGGUGCUAACGUCCGUCGUGAAGAGGGAAACAACCCAGACCGCCAGCUAAGGUCCCAAAGUCAUGGUUAAGUGGGAAACGAUGUGGGAAGGCACAGACAGCCAGGAUGUUGGCUUAGAAGCAGCCAUCAUUUAAAGAAAGCGUAAUAGCUCACUGGUCGAGUCGGCCUGCGCGGAAGAUGUAACGGGGCUAAACCAUGCACCGAAGCUGCGGCAGCGACACUAUGUGUUGUUGGGUAGGGGAGCGUUCUGUAAGCCUGCGAAGGUGUGCUGUGAGGCAUGCUGGAGGUAUCAGAAGUGCGAAUGCUGACAUAAGUAACGAUAAAGCGGGUGAAAAGCCCGCUCGCCGGAAGACCAAGGGUUCCUGUCCAACGUUAAUCGGGGCAGGGUGAGUCGACCCCUAAGGCGAGGCCGAAAGGCGUAGUCGAUGGGAAACAGGUUAAUAUUCCUGUACUUGGUGUUACUGCGAAGGGGGGACGGAGAAGGCUAUGUUAGCCGGGCGACGGUUGUCCCGGUUUAAGCAUGUAGGCUGGUUGUCCAGGCAAAUCCGGAUAAUCAAGGCUGAGGUGUGAUGACGAGGCACUACGGUGCUGAAGUAACAAAUGCCCUGCUUCCAGGAAAAGCCUCUAAGCAUCAGGUAACAUUAAAUCGUACCCCAAACCGACACAGGUGGUCAGGUAGAGAAUACCAAGGCGCUUGAGAGAACUCGGGUGAAGGAACUAGGCAAAAUGGUGCCGUAACUUCGGGAGAAGGCACGCUGGUGUGUAGGUGAAGUCCCUGCGGAUGGAGCUGAGACCAGUCGAAGAUACCAGCUGGCUGCAACUGUUUAUUAAAAACACAGCACUGUGCAAACACGAAAGUGGACGUAUACGGUGUGACGCCUGCCCGGUGCCGGAAGGUUAAUUGAUGGGGUUAUCCGUAAGGAGAAGCUCUUGAUCGAAGCCCCGGUAAACGGCGGCCGUAACUAUAACGGUCCUAAGGUAGCGAAAUUCCUUGUCGGGUAAGUUCCGACCUGCACGAAUGGCGUAAUGAUGGCCAGGCUGUCUCCACCCGAGACUCAGUGAAAUUGAACUCGCUGUGAAGAUGCAGUGUACCCGCGGCAAGACGGAAAGACCCCGUGAACCUUUACUAUAGCUUGACACUGAACAUUGAGCCUUGAUGUGUAGGAUAGGUGGGAGGCUUUGAAGCGUGGACGCCAGUCUGCGUGGAGCCAACCUUGAAAUACCACCCUUUAAUGUUUGAUGUUCUAACGUUGGCCCCUGACCGGGGUUGCGGACAGUGUCUGGUGGGUAGUUUGACUGGGGCGGUCUCCUCCCAAAGCGUAACGGAGGAGCACGAAGGUUAGCUAAUCCUGGUCGGACAUCAGGAGGUUAGUGCAAUGGCAUAAGCUAGCUUGACUGCGAGCGUGACGGCGCGAGCAGGUGCGAAAGCAGGUCAUAGUGAUCCGGUGGUUCUGAAUGGAAGGGCCAUCGCUCAACGGAUAAAAGGUACUCCGGGGAUAACAGGCUGAUACCGCCCAAGAGUUCAUAUCGACGGCGGUGUUUGGCACCUCGAUGUCGGCUCAUCACAUCCUGGGGCUGAAGUAGGUCCCAAGGGUAUGGCUGUUCGCCAUUUAAAGUGGUACGCGAGCUGGGUUUAGAACGUCGUGAGACAGUUCGGUCCCUAUCUGCCGUGGGCGCUGGAGAAUUGAGGGGGGCUGCUCCUAGUACGAGAGGACCGGAGUGGACGCAUCACUGGUGUUCGGGUUGUCAUGCCAAUGGCACUGCCCGGUAGCUAAAUGCGGAAGAGAUAAGUGCUGAAAGCAUCUAAGCACGAAACUUGCCCCGAGAUGAGUUCUCCCUGAGACUUUAAGUCUCCUGAAGGAACGUUGAAGACGACGACGUUGAUAGGCCGGGUGUGUAAGCGCAGCGAUGCGUUGAGCUAACCGGUACUAAUGAACCGUGAGGCUUAACCUUACAACGCCGAAG